AAUAGCUUUACCUAGCACAGUGUUGAUGUUCAAUAACUGUUGAAUGAAGGUUGGAAGGGCUUUGCCCUGAGCACUGAGGAGAGAGAGCUGGUUGCGUGGGACUUGAAGUCUGUCUCAGUUUCUUUAGGUGGGACUGAUGCCCUUGGCCUUCCUCCAGGGAAGGCAUCCAGCAUCCAGAGGUAAGGAUUCUCCUGUGGACCUUGUGACCUCUGACUCCUCCCCCUUCUUCCCCCAGAGUUCAAGGAGGCCUUCUCCCUCUUUGACAAGGAUGGAGAUGGCACUAUCACCACCAAGGAGUUGGGGACAGUGAUGAGAUCCCUGGGACAGAACCCCACUGAAGCAGAGCUGCAGGAUAUGAUCAAUGAGGUGGAUGCAGAUGGGAACGGGACCAUUGACUUCCCGGAGUUCCUGACCAUGAUGGCCAGAAAGAUGAAGGACACAGACAGUGAGGAGGAGAUCCGAGAGGCGUUCCGUGUCUUUGACAAGGUAAGCAGCCCUCUCCAGGGGCGGCUCUGAGACUGACGCCAGCCUUCAGGCAGACAGGCGGAACUGGAGCCACGGAGCUACCACUUCCAGGAGGUCCGGGUCCCGGUGCCAGCCUCAUUGCCAACCUGCUCUGCCACCUCAGGCAGCCUCCCUCACUGUGCUCACUGCUGAGGGAUGGUGAUGACAGCCACCCCUCUCACUGCCUCUCUCCCCGCCGGGAGAAGUGCCCAGUGAAAGGCUUUAUCCCCAACCCCCAGGAUGGGAAUGGCUACAUCAGCGCCGCAGAGCUGCGUCACGUAAUGACGAACCUGGGGGAGAAGCUGACCGAUGAGGAGGUGGAUGAGAUGAUCAGGGAGGCUGACAUCGAUGGAGAUGGCCAGGUCAAUUAUGAAGAGUUUGUACAGAUGAUGACUGCAAAGUGAAGGCCCCCCGGGCAGCUGGCGAUGCCCGUUCUCUUGAUCUCUCUCUUCUCGCGCGCGCACUCUCUCUUCAACACUCCCCUGCGUACCCCGGUUCUAGCAAACACCAAUUGAUUGACUGAGAAUCUGAUAAAGCAACAAAAGAUUUGUCCCAAGCUGCAUGAUUGCUCUUUCUCCUUCUUCCCUGAGUCUCUCUCCACGCCCCUCAUCUCUUCCUUUUGCCCUCGCCUCUUCCAUCCAUGUCUUCCAAGGCCUGAUGCAUUCAUAAGAUGAAGCCCUCCCCAGAUCCCCUUGGGGAGCCUCUGCCCUCCUCCAGCCCGGAUGGCUCUCCUCCAUUUUGGUUUGUUUCCUCUUGUUUGUCAUCUUAUUUUGGGUGCUGGGGUGGCUGCCAGCCCUGUCCUGGGACCUGCUGGGAGGGACAAGAGGCCCUCCCCCAGGCAGAAGAGCAUGCCCUUUGCCGUUGCAUGCAACCAGCCCUGUGAUUCCAUGUGCAGAUCCCAGCAGCCUGUUGGGGCAGGGGUGCCAAGAGAGGCAUUCCAGAAGGACUGAGGGGGCGUUGAGGAAUUGUGGCGUUGACUGGAUGUGGCCCAGGAGGGGGUCGAGGGGGCCGACUCACAGAAGGGGACUGACAGUGGGCAACACUCACAUCCCACUGGCUGCUGUUCUGAAACCAUCUGAUUGGCUUUCUGAGGUUUGGCUGGGUGGGGACUGCUCAUUUGGCCACUCUGCAAAUUGGACUUGCCCGCGUUCCUGAAGCGCUCUCGAGCUGUUCUGUAAAUACCUGGUGCUAACAUCCCAUGCCGCUCCCUCCUCACGAUGCACCCACCGCCCUGAGGGCCCGUCCUAGGAAUGGAUGUGGGGAUGGUCGCUUUGUAAUGUGCUGGUUCUCUUUUUUUUUCUUUCCCCUCUAUGGCCCUUAAGACUUUCAUUUUGUUCAGAACCAUGCUGGGCUAGCUAAAGGGUGGGGAGAGGGAAGAUGGGCCCCACCACGCUCUCAAGAGAACGCACCUGCAAUAAAACAGUCUUGUCGGCCAGCUGCCCAGGGGACGGCAGCUACAGCAGCCUCUGCGUCCUGGUCCGCCAGCACCUCCCGCUUCUCUGUGGUGACUUGGCGCCGCUUCCUCACAUCUGUGCUCCGUGCCCUCUUCCCUGCCUCUUCCCUCGCCCACCUGCCUGCCCCCAUACUCCCCCAGCGGAGAGCAUGAUCCGUGCCCUUGCUUCUGACUUUCGCCUCUGGGACAAGUAAGUCAAUGUGGGCAGUUCAGUCGUCUGGGUUUUUUCCCCUUUUCUGUUCAUUUCAUCUGGCUCCCCCCACCCCACCCCCCACCCCCUGCUUCCCCUCACUGCCCAGGUCGAUCAAGUGGCUUUUCCUGGGACCUGCCCAGCUUUGAGAAUCUCUUCUCAUCCACCCUCUGGCACCCAGCCUCUGAGGGAAGGAGGGAUGGGGCAUAGUGGGAGACCCAGCCAAGAGCUGAGGGUAAGGGCAGGUAGGCGUGAGGCUGUGGACAUUUUCGGAAUGUUUUGGUUUUGUUUUUUUUAAACCGGGCAAUAUUGUGUUCAGUUCAAGCUGUGAAGAAAAAUAUAUAUCAAUGUUUUCCAAUAAAAUACAGUGACUACCUG
rnacentral:sRNA from 1 species